AUUGAACGCUGGCGGCAGGCCUAACACAUGCAAGUCGAACGAGUGGCGGACGGGUGAGUAAUGUCUGGGAAACUGCCUGAUGGAGGGGGAUAAGUACUGGAAACGGUAGCUAAUACCGCAUACCAUCAGAUGUGCCCAGAUGGAAUGAGCUAGUUGGUGGGGUAACGGCUCACCAUGGCGACGCUCCCUAGCUGGUCUGAGAGGAUUACCAGCCAGACUGGAACUGAGACACGGUCCAGACGCUUACGGGGGGCAGCAGUGGGGAAUAUUGCACAAUGGACGCAAGCCUGAUGCAGCCAUGCCGCGUGUAUGAAGAAGGCCUUCGGGUUGUAAAGUACUUUAAGCGGGGAGGCGUUACCCGCAGAAGAAGCACCGGCUAACUCCGUGCCAGCAGCCGCGGUAAUAC
rnacentral:rRNA from 1 species